rnacentral:lncRNA from 1 species
CCGCUGGGGAGGCAGGGGGAGGAGUUGAGCCGGGCUGCAGCUGCCGAGGCCCCCGCGUUCCGGGGGCGGUCCCUGGCGGCCGCGCAUUCCAGAGCCUCCAGAGCCACCCGAGCAGAGCGUGCCCCGUGCCCAGCCGCGCGUCCCGGCCACUGCUGCGCGCUCCCGCCUGCCCGGGGCUUGGAGCUACGGGGCACAUUCGGGGCCGAGAUCCCAGGGCUAGGGGUCGCAUCCCACUGCUAGGACCCGUACCGUCCGAGGAGACCUGGAGAAGCGUUCCAGCUGCCUCCACCCCAGGAACUUUUCGCAGACCUGGCACGAUCCAGCAGCGGCGGGGGCCGUGGGUUUUCAAAGGAGCUGUGCGGAUCCAGGAGUGAAGCAGCAUGGAUGCCGUCAGCCAGGUCCCCAUGGAAGUCGUGCUCCCCAAGCACAUCCUGGACAUCUGGGUCAUUGUCCUCAUCAUCCUGGCCACCAUUGUCAUCAUGACCUCCUUGUUGCUGUGCCCGGCCACUGCGGUCAUCAUCUAUCGCAUGCGGACUCAUCCUGUCCUCGAUAGGGCCGUCUGAGAACCUCCCAAGAGGGGCAGGUGACGGAUGAGGACAGUGUCCCUGCCCCCAGCUGCUUUCCCUUUCUCAGAAGAGCCGCAGGAGGGACUUUGGAGCAUGGACACUGGAGCUCGAUAUGUGAGGAGACCUGAGUUCUGGUUUUGAUUCUGCCACUGGCCAGUGGUGUGAGUUUGGUCAAGGGACCUAAUUCUAUGAGUUCCAGACUCCUUAUUUUCCAAAUGGGGAUCAUGAUUCCUGCCCGUCCUACCUCAUGGGGUUGUGAGAACCAAUGACCUAGUGGAGGUUAAAGCUGUUGGUGAGUAGAUACACAGGUGUUACUGCUGAAUGCUGAGAAGCUUUGAAGAACCAAAGACCCUAGCCACUGAUGAGGGUCUUCAAGGUGGUGAGGGAGACACUGGGGCAGAGCAGUCUUCCCCAGUGCCCCUAAGAUGAAGGCAAGCAAAGGCACCCUGUCAUCAUUCCAAGGGACCAACAGCAUGUGGCUCAACAUUCUUUUCUUUGAGGUGCCACUCCCUUGAGUUGUCU